UCAUGAUACAGGUCAGCUCGUCAUCAGCUGUCAGCUGAUCAGCGCUCAGCGGGUGGAGGCGUGCAGAAGUGCGAGAUGCUGUUACUGAAAUGCGUGUGCAUGAGAAAAAUCUCACAAGGAUGAGAAGAUCUCGAAGUUUCUUUCGCAACUCGCAAAGCUCGGGAUCUACAUAUCUAAGAGUCCAUCCAGAUCUCAGAUAACGUUCCCGGUCACCGUCUUUGUGAGCUCAAAGUACUUAAUGCAUACCAAAUUGUAGAGGCAGUUUUGGACGAGGUGGUGGUGGAAGUGAAAGAGGCAGAGAUUGCGGCAGUGGCGGUGCGAGACGCGACGGGAAAUUAAUUGGCACCACCAUAAAAAUAACAGGUGGCCCAUACAAGGGAAAUGUGGGUAUUGUAAAAGACGCGACAGAGACAACAGCGCACAUGGAACUGCACUCCCCGUGCCAGACAAUCUCCAUCGAUCAAUCUCAAAUAGCAAACGUUGGCGUUCUGACAAAGCAUAGUGGCUUCAACAGUUACAAUAGUACUCUGGCUACGGAAGCCGGUGGACAAACGCCGAUGUAUGCGAGAGACGGAUCAAAAACAUCUAUUUUUAUUUCAAUGUUACGGACGGUUCUUGCACUCCUCAUUAUGGUUCAAUGACGCCGUCUCACGAUAGAUUGCGAACACCAGGACAAUUUGAGCCUAGGAUCCGACGGUGUUAUUACUAACACACUCGCCAGAACGAAUGAUUUUGACAGUUACAGUAUAGAAGAUGGUGGCCCGCCCGGUUACAAUCCAAGAUAUCUUUCUACCUGGAGAACCGUUUACUCCACAGACUCCAGGAGAGCGAAUAGCCCACACAAUCCGCCAACACCUUCAGGAAUGAAUAUAUUGAUUCUGGUAUCAUUGGUAGUUCAAAUUAGCAUACGACGGAUAUUGAAGUACGUAUUCGUGACUCACAUGAUUAUUCUGCGCCCACUGGAUAACAAGCAGUUAUUCGAGGAAUUUUAGUAAGUGAUUGGUCGUAUGUGCACCGUUUAUCUACGUAUCGAAGAUCGAGUUGUAAACCUAAUAUGUAAUCAACUGGAGCCUGUGGUACCGUCACGUGGCGAUCGAGUUAAAGUGAUUCUAGGUGAAGACCGUGAAGCUGUCGGCACUUUACUUUCGAUCGACAAUCAAGAGGGAGUAGUAAAACUAAACACGGACGAGAUAAAAUUCUUGCAAUUGCGAUUUUUGUGUGAAAUGAGCACAAAAGCACCAAGCGCUGAAUUUUCUAAUAAUUAGAAAUAAAUUUUACAAAACGUACCGACGUAAGUGAUAAAGAUAUAUCAUUAUCACUAGCUAUUGUUCUCUUGUUUCAUAUAUUACACGAUACAAUUUGUAAUAAUAGUUCCCCAAAAAAGAAAGUAUUGUAUUUGACUUUUAGUUAUAACUAUUACCAUUGUAAAUCAAAUAUUAAUACAGUAAUUUUAAAAUUGUAUGGAUUUAUGGUACAUGUAAUAUCAUAUAUUGUUAUGAAAUUAUUUCUGUGUGAUUAAAUGAAUAUAUUUAAUCUACUUACAUGGUUAUAUCUUAUGUAAUUGUGUUAUUCUUUCUAAUAUUCUUUCCCACUUUAUUUCUAUUACAUGUUAUUAGAUGCUUCUCACUUUUUUAUGCAACAUUUUUCGACUAUGUACACAUACAUGUACAAUUUUUAUAAAUUUAUAUCUAUAAAGUGAGAAAGAAGAGUCUUGUUUGAAGUUACGGUUUUAUAAAUAUGAAUUAAGUAAUACGUAUGAUAAAAAUAUAAUACUUGUAAUGGAAUGAUACCCAUGAUUCCUGCCCAUUAACCCUGGGCAGAUGAUAGUUCUUUGGGUCAGGAAGUUCCUAGGAUCUUAAAUAGUAGAAUUACAUUUCCUUCAGAUUUAAAAUGUAAUUCAAUUAUCAAGCAAAGAAAACUAAAAAAAAAUGUCUGGGUCAGUCUUUUUUUUUUGUAAUCAUCGUUAUCAGUAUGUCGACUCUUUGUGAUUAAUCAUCAUUCCCAGCAAUGACGUGGACCUACAAUUUAACGCCGAUUCCGAACGGCAAGGGCAAGAUACUCUCGGUGGUUUGCCCACUUCCUUCCGAGAGGUAGCGAUUGAAAAAUCCGAUCUUUUUUUUUUCUGACCAGAUUCGAAACCAAAUUCUUUCGCAAUCUUGGCACAAAGAACAAGUACACAGUACUCUACGCCAAACAACAGCUACGUGAUUCAUAUGACUAAAUUAAGGGUUACUUUAGACUUCCUCGAGAAGAGUAAACAAACAAGUUCGAUUUUGUUAAUCAAAAGAUUUCUUUAUACAAAAAUAAUUACGUGCGAUUUUGUAAAUCAAUAAUUCACAGCAAUUAAAUUAAAAAAAAAUUAAUAUUUAUAAUUCUAUAAAAGAAUAAAUUUGUUUAAAAAAAAAAUGGAGAACGAUUUCUUUUAUUUUAUUGAAGACGUUGGAGGAAGAUAACUUAUAUUCGUCAUCAACUCUCACUCUUCUCAAUAUCGUUCCCAACGUGUCUCGAGAUAGUACAAAUCAUACUGAAAAUCACAAAGAGCCGACAUUCUAGCACUACUCAGACGAUUACAGUAAUUUAAUUCCACGUAUAUAUACUACAAGGUAUAUAAAACAGCACUUGUGAGAAAGCUAUUAGAAGACUCUAACACACCCUCUAGUGGCCUUUGAGUAAUUUACUGGACGACAAAGCGAUCAAAAGCGAUGGCCGAUACAGAGGUCAUGAUGUAAUAAGAAAGGUCAGCUCGUCAUCAGCUGUCAGCUGAUCAGCGCUCAGCGGGUGGAGGCGUGCAGAAGUGCGAGAUGCUGUUACUGAAAUGCGUGUGCAUGAGAAAAAUCUCACAAGGAUGAGAAGAUCUCGAAGUUUCUUUCGCAACUCGCAAAGCUCGGGAUCUACAUAUCUAAGAGUCCAUCCAGAUCUCAGAUAACGUUCCCGGUCACCGUCUUUGUGAGCUCAAAGUACUUAAUGCAUACCAAAUUGUAGAGGCAGUUUUGGACGAGGUGGUGGUGGAAGUGAAAGAGGCAGAGAUUGCGGCAGUGGCGGUGCGAGACGCGACGGGAAAUUAAUUGGCACCACCAUAAAAAUAACAGGUGCCCCAUACAAGGGAAAUGUGGGUAUUGUAAAAGACGCGACAGAGACAACAGCGCACAUGGAACUGCACUCCCCGUGCCAGACAAUCUCCAUUGAUCAAUCUCAAAUAGCAAACGUUGGCGUUCUGACAAAGCAUAGUGGCUUCAACAGUUACAAUAGUACUCUGGCUACGGAAGCCGGUGGACAAACGCCGAUGUAUGCGAGAGACGGAUCAAAAACAUCUAUUUUUAUUUCAAUGUUACGGACGGUCCUUGCACUCCUCAUUAUGGUUCAAUGACGCCGUCUCACGAUAGAUUGCGAACACCAGGACAAUUUGGAGCCUAGGAUCCGACGGUGUUAUUACUAACACACUCGCCAGAACGAAUGAUUUUGACAGUUACAGUAUAGAAGAUGGUGGCUCGCCCGGUUACAAUCCAAGAUAUCUUUCUACCUGGAGAACCGUUUACUCCACAGACUCCAGGAGAGCGAAUAGCCCACACAAUCCGCCAACACCUUCAGGAAUGAAUAUAUUGAUUCUGGUAUCAUUGGUAGUUCAAAUUGGCAUACGACGGAUAUUGAAGUACGUAUUCGUGACUCACAUGAUUAUUCUGCGCUCACUGGAUAACAAGCAGUUAUUCGAGGAAUUUUAGGUCGUAUGUGCACCGUUUAUCUACCUAUCGAAGAUCGAGUUGUAAACCUAAUAUGUAAUCAACUGGAGCCUGUGGUACCGUCACGUGGCGAUCGAGUUAAAGUGAUUCUAGGUGAAGACUGUGAAGCUGUCGGCACUUUACUUUCGAUCGACAAUCAAGAGGGAGUAGUAAAACUAAACACGGACGAGAUAAAAUUCUUGCAAUUGCGAUUUUUGUGUAAAAUGAGCACAAAAGCACCAAGCGCUGAAUUUUCUAAUAAUUAGAAAUAAAUUUUACAAAACGUACCGACGUAAGUGAUAAAGAUAUAUCAUUAUCACUAGCUAUUGUUCUCUUGUUUCAUGUAUUACACGAUACAAUUUGUAAUAAUAGUUCCUCAAAAAAGAAAGUAUUGUAUUUGACUUUUAGUUAUAACUAUUACCAUUGUAAAUCAAAUAUUAAUACAGUAAUUUUAAAAUUGUAUGGAUUUAUGGUACAUGUAAUAUCAUAUAUUGUUAUGAAAUUAUUUCUGUGUGAUUAAAUGAAUAUAUUUAAUCUACUUACAUGGUUAUAUCUUGUGUAAUUGUGUUAUCUCUCCCAUAUUCUUUCUCAUUUUAUUUCUAUCACAUGUUAUUAGAUGCUUCUCAUUUUUUAUGCAACAUUUUUCGACUAUGUACACAUACAUGUACAAUUUUUAUAAAUUUAUAUCUAUAAAGUGAGAAAGAAGAGUCUUGUUUGAAGUUACAGUUUUAUGAAUAUGAAUUAAGUAAUACGUAUGAUAAAAAUAUAAUACUUGUAAUGGAAUGAUACCCAUGAUUCCUGCCCAUUAACCCUGGGCAGAUGAUAGUUCUUUGGGUCAGGAAGUUCCUAGGAUCUUAAAUAGUAGAAUUACAUUUCCUUCAGAUUUAAAAUGUAAUUCAAUUAUCAAGCAAAGAAAACUAAAAAAAAAUGUCUGGGUCAGUCUUUUUGUUGUAAUCAUCGUUAUCAGUAUGUGAGCUCUUCACUAUUAAUCAUCAUUCCCAGCAAUGACGUGGACCUACAAUUUAACGCCGAUUCCGAACGGCAAGGGCAAGAUACUCCCGGUGGUUUGCCCACUUCCUUCCGAGAGGUAGCGAUUGAAAAAUCCGAUCUUUUUUUUUUCUGACCAGAUUCGAAACCAAAUUCUUUCGCAAUCUUGGCACAAAGAGCAAGUACACAGUACUCUACGCCAAACAACAGCUACGUGAUUCAUAUGACUAAAUUAAGGGUUACUUUAGACUUCCUCGAGAAGAGUAAACAAACAAGUUCGAUUUUGUUAAUCAAAAGAUUUGUUUAUACAAAAAUAAUUACGUGCAAUUUUGUAAAUCAAUAAUUCACAGCAAUUAAAUAAAAAAAAGUUUUAGCAUUUAUAAUUCUAUAAAAGAAUAAUUUCGUUAAAAAAAAAUGGAGAACGAUUUUUUUUAUUUCAUUGAAGACGUUGGAAGAUAAACUUAUAUUCGUUAUCAACUCUCACUCUUCUCAAUAUCGUUCCCAACGUGUCUUGAGAUAGUACAAAUCAUACUGAAAAUCGCGAAGAGCUCACAUUCUAGCACUACUCAGACGAUUACAAUAAUUUAAUUCCACGUAUAUAUACUACAAUGUAUAUAAAACAGCACUUGCGAGAAAGCUAUUGGAAGACUCUAACACACCCUCUAGUGGCCUUUGAGUAAUUUACUGGACGACAAAGCGAUCAAAAGCGAUGGCCGAUACAGAGGUCAUGAUGUAAUAAGAAAGGUCAGCUCGUCAUCAGCUGUCAGCUGAUCAGCGUUCAGCGGGUGGAGGCGUGCAGAAGUGCGAGAUGCUGUUACUGAAAUGCGUGUGCAUGAGAAAAAUCUCACAAGGAUGAGAAGAUCUCGAAGUCUCUUUCGCAACUCGCAAAGCUCGGGAUCUACAUAUCUAAGAGUCCAUCCAGAUCUCAGAUAACGUUCCCGGUCACCGUCUUUGUGAGCUCAAAGUACUUAAUGCAUACCAAAUUAGGCAGUUUUGGACGAGGUGGUGGUGGAAGUGAAAGAGGCAGAGAUUGCGGCAGUGGCGGUGCGAGACGCGACGGGAAAUUAAUUGGCACCACCAUAAAAAUAACAGGUGGCCCAUACAAGGGAAAUGUGGGUAUUGUAAAAGACGCGACAGAGACAACAGCGCACAUGGAACUGCACUCCCCGUGCCAGACAAUCUCCAUCGAUCAAUCUCAAAUAGCAAACGUUGGCGUUCUGACAAAGCAUAGUGGCUUCAACAGUUACAAUAGUACUCUGGCUACGGAAGCCGGUGGACAAACGCCGAUGUAUGCGAGAGACGGAUCAAAAACAUCUAUUUUUAUUUCAAUGUUACGGACGGUUCUUGCACUCCUCAUUAUGGUUCAAUGACGCCGUCUCACGAUAGAUUGCGAACACCAGGACAAUUUGAGCCUAGGAUCCGACGGUGUUAUUACUAACACACUCGCCAGAACGAAUGAUUUUGACAGUUACAGUAUAGAAGAUGGUGGCCCGCCCGGUUACAAUCCAAGAUAUCUUUCUACCUGGAGAACCGUUUACUCCACAGACUCCAGGAGAGCGAAUAGCCCACACAAUCCGCCAACACCUUCAGGAAUGAAUAUAUUGAUUCUGGUAUCAUUGGUAGUUCAAAUUAGCAUACGACGGAUAUUGAAGUACGUAUUCGUGACUCACAUGAUUAUUCUGCGCCCACUGGAUAACAAGCAGUUAUUCGAGGAAUUUUAGGUCGUAUGUGCACCGUUUAUCUACGUAUCGAAGAUCGAGUUGUAAACCUAAUAUGUAAUCAACUGGAGCCUGUGGUACCGUCACGUGGCGAUCGAGUUAAAGUGAUUCUAGGUGAAGACCGUGAAGCUGUCGGCACUUUACUUUCGAUCGACAAUCAAGAGGGAGUAGUAAAACUAAACACGGACGAGAUAAAAUUCUUGCAAUUGCGAUUUUUGUGUGAAAUGAGCACAAAAGCACCAAGCGCUGAAUUUUCUAAUAAUUAGAAAUAAAUUUUACAAAACGUACCGACGUAAGUGAUAAAGAUAUAUCAUUAUCACUAGCUAUUGUUCUCUUGUUUCAUAUAUUACACGAUACAAUUUGUAAUAAUAGUUCCCCAAAAAAGAAAGUAUUGUAUUUGACUUUUAGUUAUAACUAUUACCAUUGUAAAUCAAAUAUUAAUACAGUAAUUUUAAAAUUGUAUGGAUUUAUGGUACAUGUAAUAUCAUAUAUUGUUAUGAAAUUAUUUCUGUGUGAUUAAAUGAAUAUAUUUAAUCUA
rnacentral:lncRNA from 1 species